AGCAGCCGCGGUAAUUCCAGCUCCAAUAGCGUAUAUUAAAGUUGUUGCAGUUAAAAGCUCGUAGUUGAAUUUCGGGGUUAGUAGGUUGGUCAUGCCUCUGGUAUGUACUGGUCUCACUGAUUCCUCCUUCCUGAUGAACCUUAAUGCCAUUAAUUUGGUGUUUUGGGGAAUUUGGACUGUUACUUUGAAAAAUUAGAGUGUUUAAAGCAAGCUAACGCUUGAAUACAUUAGCAUGGAAUAAUGAAAUAGGACGUUCGAUCCUAUUUUGUUGGUUUCUAGGAUUGACGUAAUGAUUAAUAGGGAUAGUUGGGGGCAUUAGUAUUCAAUUGUCAGAGGUGAAAUUCUUGGAUUUAUCGAAGACUAACUACUGCGAAAGCAUUUGCCAAGGAUGUUUUCAUUAAUCAAGAACGAAAGUUAGGGAUCGAAGACGAUCAGAUACCGUCGUAGUCUUAACCAUAAACUAUGCCGACUAGGGAUCGGAUGAUGUUAAUUUUUAAUGUACUCAUUCGGCGCCUUACGG
rnacentral:misc_RNA from 1 species